GUUUCCUUACUGACAUGAACAAGGCUGGCUCCCGCUUCUGCACCUAGGAAACCUCUCCCUCUUCUGCCUUAUUCCUCUAACCGAUGCCCACACUUUGAAAGUGCGGCAGCAAAGACAAAGCAAAGAAGAACGCAGAUAUCUCAGAUGGAAACAGAGUGACACGGGCCAAAGAGAGAGAAAUCCGGAGGGUGAGAGUGCAAUUGGGUGACGGGAGGUGUCAGAAGGUAGUGGUGGUGUCUGCUCACCUUGGAAACUGCAAGAAACAGGUCAUUACUAGGGAAGGACAUUUUGGUUGAAGGGCCAACAAGGAGUGAAAUAGUUGACGGUCAAGCAGCGAGAGGGAGUGCACGGGGAGCGGGGUGGCCUAGACGGGAAGACGCAGGAGUCCGUGCAGGAUGAGGCCGAGCCGCUGCUUGGACUGACACAGACGGACACUCCACCAGUGCAGUGUGGACCCAUGCUCGGCCCUCAGACAACUCUUGGAUGGCAAGGAUAUGGAGGACUCACAAUGUGCCAGUGAAGUCAGAAUUGGGUGAAGCGAUUUGGUCUACCUCCUCCAUCUCACCCUUUGAAUACCUAUGUCUCAAGCACCACUGUGUGCCAGGUGCUGCUAGGCAGAGGGCAAGGACUGGGUGGGCAAGCUCCCUGCCCUCCUAGAGCCCACACAGCUGAGGGGGACAUCGAUAAUGAAUGUAUGAACAAAUACCUGUGAUUUCGGUGGGCAACAAGUCCUACGAACUACAAGAGAAGCCAGGUGAGGAGCCAGCAUUUGAGCAGAGACCUGAAUAAAGUAGGGGAGCUUGAAGACUUGGCAUGGGCGGGAUGGCCCAGCCACAUGACAUAGGUGCAAAGCCCCACAGAGGGAUGGAGGGUGGUCGGCUCCAUGCAGCUGUUAGGUCGGUCCCACCUAACAGCACAGGCAAUCUUCCCUCCCAUGUCACAGCAUUUGAUCCCUUCAGUCUCAACAAUCCUAGCUCCUAUGAAACGGGGUUGGGUGACUUUUGUUGUUUAUUUAUUUAUUUUUUCUUAAAAGAUGACCGGUAAGGGUGUCUUAACCCUUGACUUGGUGUUGUCAG